CGGUUGAUCCUGCCGGACCCUACUACUAUCGGGGUAGGACUAGAGCUGCUUGUCGUGCGUCUCCCAAGCUGUGUUGGAGACGCGGCGUACACCUCAGUAACACGUGGCCAACCCCCUUGAGACCACUUAUACCUCCGGGAAACUGGAGAUAAUAAGUGAUAAGUGAGAAAGCCUGUAUUUGGUUUCUCACUUAAAGGAUAUUUCAACCCAUGCUUGAAAUAUCGCUCAAGGAUGGGGCCACGUCCGAUCAGGUAGUUGGUGAGGUAAUGGCUCACCAAGCCUAUAACCGGUACGGGCCGUGAGAGCGGGAGCCCGGAGAUGGGCACUGAGACAAGGGCCCAGGCCCUACGGGGCGCAGCAGCUACGAAAACUCUGCAAUGCGCGCAAGCGCGACAGGGCUACCCCGAGUGCCAUCCUCUGAGGAUGGCUUUUCCCCGGCGUAAUGAGCCGGAGGAAUAAGGGGAGGGCAAGACUGGUGUCAGCCGCCGCGGUAAUACCAGCUCCCCGAGUGGUGGGGAUGAUUAUUGGGCCUAAAGCGUUCGUAGCCGGCUCUGCAAGUCUCCCGUUAAAUCCAACGAUUCAAUCGUUGGGCAGCGGGAGAUACUGCAGAGCUAGGAGGCGGGAGAAGUCGACGGUACUCCUGGGGGAGGGGUGAAAUCCUAUAAUCCCAGGAGGACCACCAGUGGCGAAGGCGGUCGACUAGAACGCGCUCGACGGUGAGGGACGAAAGCUGGGGGAGCGAUCCGGAUUAGAUACCCGGGUAGUCCCAGCUGUAAACGAUGCAGGCUAGGUGUUAACGUGACUACGAGUUACGUUAGUGCCGCAGGGAAGCCGUUAAGCCUGCCGCCUGGGAAGUACGGUCGCAAGACUGAAACUUAAAGGAAUUGGCGGGGGAGCAC
rnacentral:rRNA from 1 species